rnacentral:lncRNA from 10 species
GAACUUUAUAUUGCUGUUGGAAUAUCUGGAGCCAUCCAACAUUUAGCUGGGAUGAAAGACAGCAAGUUACCUGGACUAUACCAUGUUCCAAUCUUAGACAUUCUGGCAUCUUCUGCACAUCUCUCUGAGGAACCCCUCUAAGGGAAAUACACAGAUGUUGGAUAUCCUGUAGCCUGUAUUUUAAGUCAGGCUACAUCAAAAUACUUAAUGUAUUUUUUAAUACCAGCUGUUUUCACAACAUACAAUGCCAGACAAUUGUGGCAAUUAAUAAAGACCCAGAAGCUCCAAUUUUCCAAGUGGCAGAUUAUGGAAUAGUUGCAGAUUUAUUUAAGGUAGUUCCUGAAAUGACUGAGAUAUUGAAGAAAAAAUGAAUCAGGAUCAUGCCUUAAAAAGAAAACUUUUGUUAAAGUAUUCCACUGAAAUCACAGAUAUUUGUGGGUAUUAUAACAAUCAUUGGAAAGCAUGGAGAGCUACAUUUCAUAAUUUGAGGGAAAAUUUCUAACAGAUGCCAGAAUGCUUGUUUAUGGGAUUGCUGUGUUUCCUUUUAAUUAUUUGUGGUUCCAAACAAUUAUUGUUUGAACUUUUUAAAUUCUGUACUAAAAUCUAUAA